UUGUUAAGGGCGCCUGAUGCUAGAAUUCACAGACAGGCUUUCUCUCUCUCUCUCUCUCUCUCCCGUGAAAGAAAGGGGGGACCAAAAGGAUCUUUCUCAGUUCUUUGCUGUGCCUUAUUGUGAGACCGGAACCCUGGGAAAGCAGAACGCUGCAAUUUUAAAGAGGUCCUUUCUCAUUUUUCUGCUGCCCUAGGAUAAUGAAACCUCUUACCUGGAUUCUGAACAUCUCAUAAAGGAAUUUUCAUUCCCAAACAUUUGUUAAAUUGGUGUUUCUGUGGGAGAGAAGGACUGGGACCUCCUAUUCUGCCACCUUUCUUAGGGUCAAAGCACAUGAGGACCCAAUUUCACCAUUUUAAAUGAAAGUGACACACUGCACCUCUCCGGACAAGCGGUCAAAAGAUUGAGAGGACGCUUAACACGGAACAUGGCACAAGACUAACAAAACCAAACUCCAUCAUCCGGCCACCAGGAGGCCUCUGACAUCAAGUGAUGCCUUGUAAAGGAAACUACAGUGUCAGAAGUUGUAAUACAUUGCUCUUAUGGAUCAGAAGACCAUGAAAUACCAUCAGGAGUGUGCGUCUCUCAUGAGGGCAGAUCCAUACCACACAGUCCCUAACAGAGGAUGGCUAGAAGGUUUACUCACUUAUUUUCCACAUCCUGGAUGGUGUCAGGCAGAGGAAGAUUUUUGGUUUCGGGUUGGAAAAAGACAACAAGACCAGCAAUGAUGGGACUCACUCCAUAGAUGAUCCAGGGCAAAACGGGUUGAUAUACCGCUAGGGUCAUCAAGAGAGGAGCCAGUGCUGCCCCAAAUCUACUAACCAUAAGCUCUAAUCCUGAAGCUUUUGCCCUGAAGAGUAAAUGACAAUACAUAAAGAUCCAGUAAAGAAUCACACAUAAUCCAUUAUUUUGACAUGAUUAUGGAACAUAAUACAACAGACGUAUUACACACAUGGGCUUGAUUUAAAAAAAAAAAAACACUUGUUUUUGAGAUGUGUUCUGUGAUUAUAGCUGGCUUUGUCAGGGGUAGAGUGUGUUAAGACUUAUUGUCAUCAUUUUAAACAGAAUGUUAUACAUUGCACCUAGAGUGGCAAGUGGUCCAAAAGGUUAAUGAGAUGAAGCAUGGAAGUACUCCUUAGUACAGUACAUGGCACCAAGUCAGCUUUUUCAAUAAACUUUGGGUUUAAAUGUU